AGAGUUUGAUCCUGGCUCAGAACGUACGCUGGCGGCACGCCUAACACAUGCAAGUCGAACGAAGUAGCAAUACUUAGUGGCAGACGGGUGAGUAACAUGUAGGUAUCUGCCCUUUGGCCUGGAAUAACACGAGGAAACUUGUGCUAAUACCGGAUAAGUCUUUACGGAGAAAGCUUUAUGCACCAUUGGAUGAGCCUGCACUUGAUUAGUUUGUUGGUGGGGUAAUGGCCUACCAAGACUGUGAUCAAUAGCUGAUUUGAGAGGAUGAUCAGCCACAUUGGGACUGAGACACGGCCCAAACUCCUACGGGAGGCAGCAGUGGGGAAUCUUGCACAAUGGAGGAAACUCUGAUGCAGCGAUGCCGCGUGAGUGAAGAAGGCCCUUGGGUUGUAAAGCUCUUUCGUCGGGGAAGAAAAUGACUGUACCCGAAUAAGAAGGUCCGGCUAACUUCGUGCCAGCAGCCGCGGUAAUACGAAGGGACCUAGCGUAGUUCGGAAUUACUGGGCUUAAAGAGUUCGUAGGUGGUUGAAAAAGUUAGUGGUGAAAUCCCAGAGCUUAACUCUGGAACUGCCAUUAAAACUUUUCAGCUAGAGUAUGAUAGAGGAAAGCAGAAUUUCUAGUGUAGAGGUGAAAUUCGUAGAUAUUAGAAAGAAUACCAAUUGCGAAGGCAGCUUUCUGGAUCAUUACUGACACUGAGGAACGAAAGCAUGGGUAGCGAAGAGGAUUAGAUACCCUCGUAGUCCAUGCCGUAAACGAUGUGUGUUAGACGUUGGAAAUUUAUUUUCAGUGUCGCAGGAAACCGAUAAACACACCGCCUGGGGAGUACGACCGCAAGGUUAAAACUCAAAUGAAUUGACGGGGACCCGCACAAGUAGUGGAGCAUGUGGUUUAAUUC
rnacentral:rRNA from 1 species